rnacentral:rRNA from 1 species
GUAGGUGGCAAGCGUUGUCCGGGAAUUAUUGGGGCGUAAAGCGCGCGCAGGCGGUUCUUUAAGUCUGAUGUGAAAGCCCACGGGCUCAACCGUGGGAGGGUCAUUGGAAACUGGAGAACUUGAGUACAGAAGAGGAAAGCGGAAUUCCACGUGUAGCGGUGAAAUGCGUAGAGAUGUGGAGGAACACCAGUGGCGAAGGCGGCUUUCUGGUCUGUAACUGACGCUGAGGCGCGAAAGCGUGGGGAGCAAACAGGAUUAGAUACCCUGGUAGUCCACGCUGUAAACGAUGAGUGCUAAGUGUUAGGGGGUUUCCGCCCCUUAGUGCUGCAGCUAACGCAUUAAGCACUCCGCCUGGGGAGUACGGCCGCAAAGGCUGA